CAUUCUUUCAUUCUCUUCAGCUGAUCAUAAAGAGGCAAAAUCGAUAAGCAUCGGCCAGCAAAAGCUUUAGCAUAGAUGCUAAGGCAAAUGGAUUGUCCAAGAUACCCUGGAAAAACAGUCCAGUGAUGAUGAAGAAAAUUAGGAUGAGACGGACUUGUGCACUUCCAUAAGUCCUGGACCUACACCAGUAUUAUAGGCCAUCUCAGUCAGAUGGAGGACCACCAGCCACACCUACUGGUAUUGAGAAGGAUCAAGGGCACGAUCAGCUUAUUCUAUAUGGUCGGACAAGCACCUCAUCCCUUCUGACGGAACCACCACCCUGAGUGCUAUCGAACUCUAAGUCCACUUUGUGCUCAACCUGUUGUUUCAGUAGGUCCUUGUCAAUGUCUUUAUCUUCCUGCUACACUCUACAACAUUGAUGUUGGUCAUACC